ACACCUUCCUACAGGGGCUGAGCCCCCUCUUUUUUUUUUUUUUUUAGAUUUAUUUAUUUAUUUUGCAUAUAAGUACACUGUAGCUGUCCUCAGACACACCAGAAGAGGGCAUUGGAUCCCAUUACAGAUGGUUGUGAGCCACCAUGUGGUUGCUGGGAUUUGAACUCAAGACCUCUGGAAGAGCAGUCGGUGCUCUUAGCCACUGAGCCAUCUCUCCAGCCCGCUGAGCCCCCUCUUAACACUCAAAUGUCAGGCAGUGGUGGCCUUUCAACCCAGCACUUUAGGGAGGCAGAGGGAGGUGGAUUUCUGUGAGUUCAAGGCCAGCCUGGUCUACACAGCAAGUUUUAGGACAGCCAAGGCUAUACAAAGAAACCCUUGGGGUGGCACAUGGGGGAAUACAAACAACACAAAACCAAGAUAAUCCUACCCACAGACAUGCCCUUAGGCCACUAUGGUCAAAGUAAUUCCUCAGUUAAAGCAUUCCUUCUAGAUCUCUAAAAGGUGUCUCAGGCCAGGACGGGUUGGUGUACACACCUUUAAUCCCAGCACUCCCUGAAAGCAAAGGCAGGUAGAUCUCUUGAGCUUGAACAGAGGGCUACACAAAGAAACCCUGUCUUAAAAUACAAAAACAAGGGCUGGAGAGAUGGCUCAGUGGUUAAGAGCACUGACUGCUCUUCCAGAGGUCAUGAGUUCAAUUCCCAGCAACCACAUGGUGGCUCGCAACCAUCUGUAAUGGGAUCUGAUGCCCUCUUCUGGUGUGUCUGAAGACAGUGACAGUGUACUCACAUACAUAAAGUAAAUAAAUAAAAUCUUUAAAAAAAAUACAAAAAGAAAGAGAAAGAAGAAAAGAAAGAAAGAAAAGUCCUUCAGACCUUAAAUCUGGACUGCCAUGUAAUCACCCACACUCCAGGGCAGGGCCCAUUGACUCUGGUUAAUCCUUCCUAGAAAUGCCUCACAGACAUGCCCAGGGUGUUACUGUAGCUGACUCCUGAUCUAAUUAAAUUGACAAUCAGAAUUAAGCAUGCUACACAUGUUCGUGUGCCCUCACACACGAAUACAUACAAUGCCUAGAUUAGUUUUCCAACAACACAGUAGGUGAUUAGGAAACGGUGACUCCUCUCAAAUCUGCCUUUGGCGCAGAUUCCUAAGGAUAUAAAUCAAUUUCUUCCUCAUGUCCGGGAACGUGUUCUUUUCUCUCUUUUGAAGUUUUUAUUUUUCAUUUUAUGUUUGAAUGCUAGGGUUGGAACCCAGGGUCCCAUACAUGCUAGGCCAACACUCCACCUCCGAGCUAAUUCCACUCUCCAGCCCUCUCUUUUUAUACCCUGAAGGGCACUGAGGGUCUUCCUACUUUUGGAGACAGUUCUAGUGAGUUCUGUUUUGCAGAGUUCUAUAGCAGGAUAAAUGGAGUCCCUGCAACAACAUGAUGUAGGGAUUUUCUGGCCAGCAAGCUCCAGUCUCUGUGUACACAUACAUACACACAUACACACAGAUAUACACACACACAUGCACCCAUGCAUGUAUGUACACACACAUACACACAGAUGCACACACCCAUGCAUGCAUGUACAUACACACAGAUGCACACACCCAUGCACCCAUGCAUGCAUGUACAUACACACAGAUGCACACAUAUGUGCACCCAUGCAUGCAUGCACACACACAGAUGCACACACAUGCACCCAUGCAUGCAUGUACAUACACACAGAUGCACACACCCAUGCACCCAUGCAUGCAUGUACAUACACACAGAUGCACACAUAUGUGCACCCAUGCAUGCAUGCACACACACAGAUGCACACACACAUGCACCCAUGCAUGCAUGUACAUACACACAGAUGCACACAUAUGUGUACCCAUGAAUGCAUGUACACACACACAGAUGCACACACACAUGCACCCAUGCAUGCAUGUACAUACACACAGAUGCACACAUAUGUGUACCCAUGAAUGCAUGUACACACACACAGAUGCACACACACAUGCACCCAUGCAUGCAUGUACAUACACAGAUGCACACAUAUGUGCACCCAUGAAUGCAGGUACACACACACACACACACACACAGUGCUAAGGUUGCAGACACCUGUCUGAACUCAGAUUCUUGGGCUUAUGCAGCAAACAUUCAUCCACUAAUCAAUCUCUCCAGCCACCAGAAGUCAGAGCCUGAAGGAGUAGGGCGGGUUACAAUGUUCAGAACUACCAGAAGCCAGCCAGCCAUAAUCCUAGAAAGACACUGCUCAGAAAGCUAUUUGGUAAGGAGCUUAAGAGACCUGCGGCUGUGAGGCCAGGAAGGUUCUUAAGAGUCAACUGCCUGGAGACCUCAGGCCCUGCUUUGUCAGACUGCAUGUGAAGCCCCCACCUCCUCAGCCCCAGGGCUUGCUAGAAGGAAGAAAAUGUGGACUUUGGGGUCAGAGAGCCCUGAGUCCCAAUGUCAACUGCCCUGGCAUUAGCCAUGUGGCCUUGGUCAUGUGGAACCUGGGGAGCCACCACUCCUUCAAUGACAUAAUUAGAUCACCAGUCACCCUGCCUCUCUUGGGACCCCAUGAGCUAAUGGAAUGUCGUGGGUGACUGAGCUGGGAAUGAUCCUCCCAGCAAAGACAGGAUCCUGUCCUCCGAGGGACUGCAACCAAAUGUGGCUGCUGUUUACUGGGUCUCUGUUUUAGCACAGAAAUCAGGCUGUCGGUAAACCAUCAAGCCUGAGUGAUACCCUGUCCCAAUGGCUUACUGUGACACUGUCGAGUCCUUUGACGCAUUGGCAGACACAUUCAGGGCUGGCAGUAUAAACAGAACCCACUGAGAGGUUUGAAAGUAAAGCUACUGAGCCACUUAAGGCUGGCACUGUCAUGGCUUCCAUUACCAAGGGCACUGUGCAGGGCCCAUUUGGCUGAUGACCAAGAAUACCUCGACUCCGACAACAUGGAAGGGAAAAGGAAAGUAAGAUAGGCGAAGGACCAGCCUCCAAGUUUGUUCAAAACUGAGUGAGAGGCACAGGCUGCUCCAGGUCCCGUGGAGCAGAAAGGGUGACAUGAACACCUGAAUUGAGUGUGUACCGUCCUCUCUUGAGAAGGUCUCAGGUCUUGGUCUCUCUAUGCCUCAGUGACUUGGCCUGUAGAAUUGCACCCUCAUAUCUGCCUCUCCGGGUGGAGGAAUGUGUGGAGUCUGAGCCCAGUACCUGGUACAGCCAGGACCUUUCCCUUGGCUAGAAAGGGAGGCAGGGACUGAAGGGAGAUUAUGCAGAGAGAUGAAGAAAAGCAGGACCCUAAUCAGGGUCAUUACUGCAUCCUUAACACCUUUGCUCAGAGCUGGUACAUUUUCCCCCCGCUGCUGACCACAAAUUCUCUGUGGCCAAAGCCCUCUUUCCCCAAGGAAACCUCAGUUCAAAAAUCAUGUCUUCCCUGGCUGGUGCUGGCCAUACACCUUUAAUCCCAGACAGAAGCAAGUGGAUCUCUGAAUUUGAGGAUGGCCCAGUCUACUACAGAGUGAGUUCCAGGUCAGCCAGGGCUACACAGAGAAACCUUGUCUCAAAAAAACAGAAUCAAUAUCAUGUCUUAGCUAGACAUGGUGGCACAUGUCUUUAAUCGUAGCACUCGAGAGGCAGAGGCAGGUGGAUCUCUGUCAGUUUGAGGCCAGCCUGGUCUACAUAGCAAGUUCCAGGCUAUAUAUAUAUAUAUAUAUUAAGACCCUGCACUAACACACACACACACACACACCACACCACCCUCCCCCUGCAACACAUACACACACACACACCGCCCUCCCCCUACAACACAUAUACACACACACAGAUACACACACAUACACACACACACCGCCCUCCCCCUACAACACAUACACACACACACACACACACACACACACACACACACACACACACACUCUUAGAAUCCUUGCCUAGAAUAUAUCCCUCUUCCCUCCCUCAGCAAGAUUUCUGCCCUGAUUUGUCAGAUGUUCACCCUAUGUGAGACACAGUCUCUGAAAAAGGGACCGACCAUCCCUUUUCUGUGCCUCAGAGAGGCAGGGGACAUAGAAGAAGAGAGACUCUGGCUCGAGAGUCCAUGUCAGGGCUCAGAUGAACUUGGAAAGACGUUUAUCUCAGGGAGGGGAGCUCGCACAGGCCUCGGUUUCCACAAACUGGACAACUGGGAAGGAAGGCAGAGUUCUGGGGAAUGAGGGUCAGCAGAGCUAAGAGGAAGGUAUCAACAUGAAAAGAGGCUGUUCUCACGUCAGUGUGUGACCCGUGUCUUCGUGUAUGCCUGUGUUUUUAUCUGUGUUUGUGAGCUUUGUGUACAUUUGUGAGUGUGUUUUUUUUUAAAGAUUUUAUUUAUUCAUUUUAUAUAUGAUAAAUACACUGUCACUGUCUUCAGACACACCAGAAGAGGGCAUCAGAUCUUGUUACAGAUGGUUGUGAGCCACCAUGUGGUUGCUGGGAUUUGAACUCAUGACCUCUGGAAGAGCAGUCAGUGCUCUUAACCGCUGAGCCAUCUCUCCAGCAUUGGUAUCUGUACACGUAAAAACAUUGGUAUCUGUACACGUAAAAACAUUGGUAUCUGUACACGUGCUUGCCUGUGGGGGUUCAUGUGUGGUUUUAGUAUUUUCGAGUGUAUUCGUGUGUGCUUGUAUUGUCAUUUCUGUUUGCCUUGAGAAGCUCACCAGGAAGCUCGGGUUGGCCCGUGACAUAUGGCAGUCCUCCCAAGUACUGGAAUUAAAGGGGUUCACGACCACACACAGCUUUAUUAUAGGUUAUAAAGUGAAGAGGUCAUGUGACCAGAAGUGCCUGGCAAGAUGUCAACACAGUAAGGAGGCUCUUCCAGCCUCGAGGCCCAAUCUACUGUCUGGCCCCUCUCCUUCCUGACACAGGGCCAGUGCCUUGGAGGAGUCCCUGCUGUUCUUGCUUCUCUCUGCCUACUCCUGCUUGUCUCUGGCCUCUUUCCACACCCCAUGUCCUCUCAUCUAGAGUCCCAGCAGUGCAUGUACCCAGGCAGCUCAGCUCACUGGGCAACAGACCCAGAGCUGUGACCCUUGCACUCUGCAAAGUCUCAGCCAACUCUCCCUUUAGGAGCGAUACAUGCCUGCUACCUGCCCUGCUCUACCUAACCCAGGAGCAGUGGGAGUGGAGGAAGCCGCUGAGAGGCAAGGCCCCUGCACCUGAUCUGAAAGUCACUCCCAACCAGGUUCUGUGGCUGGGAGUCAGCCACAGAUCAGUGACGACAUUCAGACAUGUUUAUCAGUCAACUGAGUUCUAUGGCCACUGAGUAGGGAGGGGGCGUGGAGAGCCAAGCUCUGCCCUACCUACUCAGUGCCUCAGGCAUCCAGACUCCCAGAAGAGCCAACUCAUGGGCAAUUACCAUUCACUCUGGCAUGGGAGACAGGGCACAGAGCACUUAUGCUUGUGACACGGGUGACAAAGAAGUGACACAGGUCGCUUCCACUUGCAGCUGACAGGGCAAUGCUAGUCCAUUAGCCAGAGGUCAGGGCUGUGGGAAAUGGAACUUCCUGGUGCUCUCUGAGCAAGCAAAGUCUUUUCUGCCUGGUAAGUGCUAGCUCUAAGGCAGGUCGGUUCGUUCUUUCUUUCUUCCUUCCUUUCUUUUGUUUUUAGGAUUUAUUUAUUUUAUGUAUAUGAGUACACUGUAGCUGUCUUCAGACACACCAGAAGAGGGCAUCAGACCCCAUUUCAGAUGGUCGGGAGCCACCAUGUGGUUGCUGGGAAUUGAACUCAGGACCUCUGGAAGAGCAGUCAGUGCUCUUAACCACUGAGCCAUCUCUCCAGCCCGGCCGGUCAGUUCUUGCCUGGAUAUGGAAACUGGAUGAGGAAGGGUGUGGGGGACAAUGUAACACCAUCCUAGCUGCCCCUUGUCCUCCAUCUGUCCCCUUGUUCCCAGAGGACAGCACACAGAUGCCUCUCCAGUGCUCCAAUGCCCCCUCUCUCCUGGGAAAUACACCUCUAUCCAGGCUUGGCUCACCACAGCUCCACCUUGGUCUUUCUCCGGUAUCACCAAGGACCCUGCUGCUGCCUCGGGACCUCAGCUGUGUUUUCCUGACUCCUCUUGGAAUGUUCCACCCUUCUCUGCUCACUGGACUCCCUAGUAGCCACCAAAAGAACUGAGCAGGACCAGGGGGAGUGUGAGCAAACAAAGUCACAGUGGAUAAAGAACCAAAUGGCAUUGCGUGGUGUGAGGCGGAGGGCAGGGCUCCUGAGCAGUCCGAGCAGACAGGUCAAGGCUCCUAGCUUGAAAUUUCCUCAGCUUGGUGCAUCAAGCGAGGGGAUCCCUGGGACUAACAAUGAGUACUGAGAGAAGCAUCUCCUGAGAGCCUGGUCUCCUUCCACACAGUGACUCCUGUUCCUUACGGCUUUGUAUUUUGUUUUACAUGAAAUCCUGGAUUACACUUAUGUGUGUGCACGGGCACAUGCUUGCAAACACACACACACACACACACACACACACACACACACACACACACACCUGAGAUGUUGAGGAAUCAGGGAUGAAUCAGAGGCCCAGAACGCACAUCACAGACCCACCUUAAUGCUCCCAGCUUUCACCUUUUUUUUAAAAAAAAGAUUUAUUUAUUAUGUAUAUAGCGUUCUCUCUGCAUGUAGCCUGCAACCUCUGAGCCAUCUCUCCCACCUCCUCACCUUUAGUCUUAAGAAUAACUAGCACCAGGCCUGGUGCUGCAUGCCUUUAAUCCCAGCGCUCAGGAGGUAGAGGCAGGAGGAUCUCUGUGAGUUUGAGGCCAGCCUGGUCUACGGAGUUCCAGAUCAGUCAUGGGUACAUAGAAAGACCUCACCUCAAAAGGAAACAAAAAACACAAACAAACAAAAUAAACAAGAAGAGGAGAAGGAGGAGUUGUAAUUGAGGACUUGGAACCAGCUGACCAAGAGGAUCCUAUGCCCUCUUUAGCUUCCCUGGGCACUAGGCAUGCAUGUGGUGCACAGACAGAUAGGCUACAUAUCCAUACAUUAUCCAGACAUAAUAAAGAUUUUCAAAUAACUGAGUCAAUUUAAACUAGUUAAAUUUUAAAAUUUUAGUUCAGACUGGGAUGGAUGACAGCAUCCAGGAGCUGGCGGCAGGCUGAUCUUUGCAUCGAGGCCAGCCAGAUCUACAGCAAGUUCAAGGCCAGCCCCGCCUACAUAGUGAGAGCCUACAUCUAAAGUAAUUACUCUAACGUCACGUACUCCAUAAGCAGAGGAGGCUGUGGUGGUUCCUCCAGCUGUUUUCCUCUGUCUGCAGUCUCUGCAUGGAGACCUGUCUGACCAGUAUUUGCUCGGCACUACCCUUGGAUAUCCAAUGGGUGCAUCAAACUCGGCAUGUCCAAAACUGCCGUUCUGAAUCCCACACCACCGGUGGAACCAGCAAGGCCAGUCUUCAUCUUUGUGAGUGAGCCUGAAAGGCUGCCUUGCUCAUUCCCAACCACCCAGUCCCAACCCUAAACAUGUCUACAAACACAGCUCUGUCGGGCUCUGUCCUCUUACUGCCUCUCCUCCUUGAGCUCUCAUGACCAUCUGCCCAUAUUGUCUGUUUCAAUUCUGUCUUUUGUUUCAAGUUCCGGGAAAGAGGAUUUUUUGUUUGCUUUGUAGCGAUAAUUUGUUUAAGUCAAGGGCUCGCUACCUGACUGACCUUAACUGUGGGAGAUCCUGUUGCCCCGGCCUCCAGAGUGCUGGGAUUACAACCUUGUCACCACAUCGGCUUCAAUAAAUAUUUUCAAUGAAUGAUGACUUUCAGGUGGGGAAACCCUGAAACCAAUCCAGAACAUGUGCCCCUGUCCAGAGCUGUGAAAACAGGAUUUGGGAACUCCAGCCACUGUACCGGGCACUGGGACCUGACUAUCCGCAAGGUGCAGACAGGGACUGAUCACACAGCGCCCAAGCGGUUGAUGUCCUCUCUCAGCGACUGGGAUAGAGAGAGAUGGCUUUGGCUACAACUGCUUCUGGGCCAGGUAAUCCUGGAGGAAGGAAUGACGCGCACCUUUGGGCACCAGCUGCAGUUGUUUGGGUGCUGCUGCUAAAUGACCAGAGGUCCCGGAAGCCGAUCCGGAGGAGGAGCUACGGCCCGUGCAAACGGGCGCGGUGACCCGGGGUGUGCGAGCCCCCGGGGACAGGCAGUCAGACAUCGCGGCUCCUACGCGCCGGACCUAGUUUACAAAGGCGAGCCCGGCCCUGCCCCGCGGCGUCUUGGACCAGUCCCACCGAGUGGGUCCCCAACCAAUGAACCCCAGUUCUUCUGAGCCGCGGCUCCAUGAGUCCCAAAUGUCCCCGGCUCCUGUGGGUUCCAGGCUCUCCGGUCGCUUGCCCCGGCGGACAAGGAUGGGUCAUCUACUGCGAAGACGAAAAUCUUUCCAGGAAGUUUGUACCUAUUAAUAUUGCAGUUCCUGGCAGCGGCUCUCCGCGCCGGAGCGGGGGCGGGGCAGACCUUUUCCAGACGAGUGUCCGCCUCUGGCCGGAGGCAAGGGCCGGAGGGGCAGCUUUCUAGGUCCCUUCGCCCAGGGCAGGGGUAGGACCUGCUCCGAUGCUCAAGGCGCCAGAGCCCAGAGGAUUGGCCGCGAGUAGCGCGCGGUGUGACCGGGAGGCCAAGACCCAAAUCUAGAGCUGGGACGCGGGAGGGGGAAGGGAGAGGAAUCCAUGAAUCGGUUACCAGAGGCCGCUAGGCCGCGCCGCUUUCAAAAAAAAGCGGGCAUCCUCCUGUAGUGGGAGACUACGAGCCUCGGGGCCCUGGAGAGGUCGGGACCCUGGUUCUGACCUUGCUGUGGUUACACAGCCGCCGGGAGCUGCAGCAGAAAUUUGAUGUUCGAAAGCUUGUGGCUUCCUCGCCACCACCUUGCACGACUGUCAUUAUCUCCAGUCACAGACACAGAAAUUAGAGGUCGUUGUGUUGUUACCCGCCGCAAGGCCUGGUGUGCACAACGGGAUCUCUUAGAAGGAAGCGCAGCUGUUUUCCUGCAGAAGCGCCCCGGAACCACACGACCUGCCGCUUUCUGGAUUUGCAGAAGUUCCUUGGGGCAGAAGUGCCAGAUCAUUCCUUCUCUCGGUCCACAGAUGAAGGUACCACAAGAGGGAAAAGGUCCUGUGAGGCGAAUGCUCUGUCUGGAUUCAGCUUGGGUGGAUCAAGCAACUCAUCGCCUUCCCUUUGGGCUGCAGAAAGCUGCGAGGUAGCCGCGCACAGAUCUCUGGAACAAAGAUUGGUAGCAUCAGCUGUUUUAAUGCAGAGUUCGGCACACAAUCCUUGCUAAAAAUAAAUACAAAGGAAACCCCAGAGCAGCUAAGCCUA